AAAAAGUCAGCGAAUAAAGCUGCCGAAGAAAAGCGCAAGGAGAAAACGAAGACGCCAAUAAAGGGUACACGGUUUGAGGUUUGAGUAUUA